rnacentral:rRNA from 1 species
GAUGAACGCUAGCGGGAGGCCUAACACAUGCAAGCCGAGCGGUAGAGUCUCUUCGGAGACUUGAGAGCGGCGCACGGGUGCGGAACACGUGUGCAACCUGCCUUUAUCUGGGGGAUAGCCUUUCGAAGGGAAGAUUAAUACCCCAUAAUAUACUGGAUGGCAUCAUCUGGUAUUGAAAACUCCGGUGGAUAGAGAUGGGCACGCGCAAGAUUAGAUAGUUGGUGAGGUAACGGCUCACCAAGUCAGCGAUCUUUAGGGGGCCUGAGAGGGUGAUCCCCCACACUGGUACUGAGACACGGACCAGACUCCUACGGGAGGCAGCAGUGAGGAAUAUUGGACGAUGGGUGAGAGCCUGAUCCAGCCAUCCCGCGUGAAGGACGACGGCCCUAUGGGUUGUAAACUUCUUUUGUAUAGGGAUAAACCUAGAUACGUGUAUCUAGCUGAAGGUACUAUACGAAUAAGCACCGGCUAACUCCGUG